CGCAUCGCCGACUCGAAGGAAAAGCCGGCCACCCACCCUGUCGCCGCAACGAGGGCCAGGCCCUCAAUUGACAACUGAAGAAUAUGCUCUCUUUUAUCCCAUUUUUGGACGCGUGACCCCGUCGCCGGAGAUAGUUGCCUUCGCGGAUUAUGUAUUUGGGGUUCGACGAGAUGCCAAAAAUAACGACAAUAAGAAUGCAACUCGCAACAAAGCGGCGUCCAGCGAGCAAGGGGACAGCGGCGAACUAUUGCGGCCGAAAGGGGCAAAUAUACAUGCCAAUAUUGGUUUCGAACAAUAUUGGCCAGGGGGAGAUUGGGUGUACAGGAAGGCGGAGUUAGAACGCUGCAACACCACCGAGUACUGCGGUAUAUUCAGCAAGUAA